GACAUCCACGGAAGUUUUCAGAGAUGAGAAUGUGCCUUCGGGAACCGUGAGACAGGUGCUGCAUGGCUGUCGUCAGCUCGUGUUGUGAAAUGUUGGGUUAAGUCCCGCAACGAGCGCAACCCUUAUCCUUUGUUGCCAGCGGUCCGGCCGGGAACUCAAAGGAGACUGCCAGUGAUAAACUGGAGGAAGGUGGGGAUGACGUCAAGUCAUCAUGGCCCUUACGACCAGGGCUACACACGUGCUACAAUGGCGCAUACAAAGAGAAGCGACCUCGCGAGAGCAAGCGGACCUCAUAAAGUGCGUCGUAGUCCGGAUUGGAGUCUGCAACUCGACUCCAUGAAGUCGGAAUCGCUAGUAAUCGUGGAUCAGAAUGCCACGGUGAAUACGUUCCCGGGCCUUGUACACACCGCCCGUCACACCAUGGGAGUGGGUUGCAAAAGAAGUAGGUAGCUUAACCUUCGGGAGGGCGCUUACCACUUUGUGAUUCAUGACUGGGGUGAAGUCGUAACAAGGUAACCGUAGGGGAACCUGCGGUUGGAUCAC
rnacentral:rRNA from 2 species